rnacentral:rRNA from 1 species
GACGAACGCUGGCGGCGUGCUUAACACAUGCAAGUCGAACGGAAAGGCCCCUUCGGGGGUACUCGAGUGGCGAACGGGUGAGUAACACGUGGGUGAUCUGCCUUGCACUCUGGGAUAAGCCUGGGAAACCGGGUCUAAUACUGGAUAUGACCGCAUGCUGCAUGGUGUGUGGUGGAAAGCUUUUGCGGUGUGAGAUGGGCCCGCGGCCUAUCAGCUUGUUGGUGGGGUAAUGGCCUACCAAGGCGACGACGGGUAGCCGACCUGAGAGGGUGAUCGGCCACACUGGGAAUGAGACACGGCCCAGACUCCUACGGGAGGCAGCAGUGGGGAAUAUUGCACAAUGGGCGCAAGCCUGAUGCAGCGACGCCGCGUGAGGGAUGACGGCCUUCGGGUUGUAAACCUCUUUCGCCAGGGACGAAGCGUAAGUGACGGUACCUGGAGAAGAAGCACUGGCCAACUACGUGCCAGCAGCCGCAGUAACAC